AUUGAACGCUGGCGGCAGGCCUAACACAUGCAAGUCGAGCGGCAGCGGGAAAGUAGCUUGCUACUUUUGCCGGCGAGCGGCGGACGGGAGUAAUGCCUGGGGAUCUGCCCAGUCGAGGGGGAUAACUACUGGAAACGGUAGCUAAUACCGCAUACGCCCUACGGGGGAAAGCAGGGGACCUUCGGGCCUUGCGCGAUUGGAUGAACCCAGGUGGGAUUAGCUAGUUGGUGAGGUAAUGGCUAACCAAGGCGACGAUCCCUAGCUGGUCUGAGAGGAUGAUCAGCCACACUGGAACUGAGACACGGUCCAGACUCCUACGGGAGGCAGCAGUGGGGAAUAUUGCACAAUGGGGGAAGCCCCGAUGCAGCCAUGCCGCGUGUGUGAAGAAGGCCUUCGGGUUGUAAAGCACUUUCAGCGAGGAGGAAAGGUUGGUAGCUAAUAACUGCCAGCUGUGACGUUACUCGCAGAAGAAGCACCGGCUAACUCCGUGCCAGCCGCCGCGGUAAGAC
rnacentral:rRNA from 1 species